AUGGCACUGAAGCAGACACAUUGAGCACACGUUUGACAUGUCAAAGCUUGUUGUACUAAUUACAUAUGCCACCAACAAAGGGGAUGGAUACAAUUUGGGAUUUUAACUUUCCUGACCAGGACAGUCACGCAAUACUGGAAUAUAAAAGAAAACCAGAAACCCUGAACAUGGGUUACAGGAAGCCCCAGAGAGGACAUUCCCUGUAUUCUUCAGAGGAAAACUGGGGGAGAAGCUCCAUCAGGAGACCCCAGGGUUUGACCUGUUGGACCCCAACAUGAGAGUCAUAGAUGUUGGUUAUAACUGCCUCCACGACAAACACCUGAAGUGUUUUUUCCGCCAUCCGGAAAGGAAGAAGCGGCUGGUGAAGCAAGGCCUCAUCACCUCAAAUGAGAAGGCAUGGCAAACCUCCUUUUUCUUUCCAAAAUCUAAAAGUGACA